GCUUGUUGCUGUUUUCGUUGCACAAGACAACAAUGAACACAGAGACAAUAAGGAGUAAACACACAAAAUGCAACAUUGUCCCCUCCGAGAGCAAAAACCAUAUACUCCUCUGUAAACCCAUCUGUCAUUUCUAGCAGCUCAAAAUAUAUCACAGAGCUCCACAGCAAUGCGCAGUGUGAGUGCAUCACAGAGCUCCACAGCAAGAAAACUCAUAGUAAUGUGCAGUGUGUGAGUGUAUCACAGAGCUCCACAGUAAUAAAACUCACAGUAAUGUGCAGUGUGUGAGUGUAUCACAGAGCUCCGCAGCAAUAAAAGUCACAGUAAUGUGCAGUGUGUAUGAGUGUAUCACAGAGCUCCACAGUAAUAAAACUCCCAGUAAUGUGCGGUGUGUACGAGUGUAUCACAGAGCUCCACAGUAAUAAAACUCCCAGUAAUGUGCAGUGUGUAUGAGUAUCACAGAGCUCCACAAUAAUAAAACUCACAGUAAUGUGCAGUGUGUAUGGGUGUAUCACAGAGCUCCACAGUAAUAAAACUCACAGUAAUGUGCAGUGUGUAUGAGUGUAUCACAGAGCUCCACAGUAAUAAAACUCACAGUAAUGGGCAGUGUGUAUGAGUGUAUCACAGAGCUCCACAGUAAUAAAACUCCCAGUAAUGUGCGGUGUGUACGAGUGUAUCACAGAGCUCCACAGUAAUAAAACUCCAAGUAAUGGGCAGUGUGUAUGAGGGUAUCACAGAGCUCCACAGUAAUAAAACUCCCAGUAAUGG